rnacentral:rRNA from 1 species
AGUCGAGCGGAUGAGAGGAGCUUGCUCCUUGAUUUAGCGGCGGACGGGUGAGUAAUGCCUAGGAAUCUGCCUGGUAGUGGGGGAUAACGUCCGGAAACGGGCGCUAAUACCGCAUACGUCCUACGGGAGAAAGCAGGGGACCUUCGGGCCUUGCGCUAUCAGAUGAGCCUAGGUCGGAUUAGCUAGUUGGUGAGGUAAUGGCUCACCAAGGCGACGAUCCGUAACUGGUCUGAGAGGAUGAUCAGUCACACUGGAACUGAGACACGGUCCAGACUCCUACGGGAGGCAGCAGUGGGGAAUAUUGGACAAUGGGCGAAAGCCUGAUCCAGCCAUGCCGCGUGUGUGAAGAAGGUCUUCGGAUUGUAAAGCACUUUAAGUUGGGAGGAAGGGCAGUAAGUUAAUACCUUGCUGUUUUGACGUUACCGACAGAAUAAGCACCGGCUAACUUCGUGCCAGCAGCCGCGGUAAUACGAAGGGUGCAAGCGUUAAUCGGAAUUACUGGGCGUAAAGCGCGCGUAGGUGGUUCGUUAAGUUGGAUGUGAAAGCCCCGGGCUCAACCUGGGAACUGCAUCCAAAACUGGCGAGCUAGAGUACGGUAGAGGGUGGUGGAAUUUCCUGUGUAGCGGUGAAAUGCGUAGAUAUAGGAAGGAACACCAGUGGCGAAGGCGACCACCU